rnacentral:rRNA from 1 species
UGGAGGGCAAGUCUGGUGCCAGCAGCCGCGGUAAUUCCAGCUCCAAUAGCGUAUAUUAAAGUUGUUGCAGUUAAAAAGCUCGUAGUUGAAUUUCGGGGUUCAUACGUUGGUCGGGCUUUUUGGUCUGUACUUAUGUAAUGGAUUCCUACCUUCUGAAUAACCGGCAUGUCAUUAAUUUGGUGCGCCGGGGAAGCAGGACUGUUACCUUGAAAAAAUUAGAGUGCUUAAAGCAGGCUAUCGCCUGAAUACAUUAGCAUGGAAUAAUGAAAUAGGACGGCAUGGUUCUAUUUUGCUGGUUUCUAGGAUCACCGUAAUGAUUAAUAGGGAUAGUUGGGGGCAUUAGUAUUCAAUUGUCAGAGGUGAAAUUCUUGGAUUUAUUGAAGACUAACUUCUGCGAAAGCAUUUGCCAAGGAUGUUUUCAUUAAUCAAGAACGAAAGUUAGGGGAUCGAAGACGAUCAGAUACCGUCGUAGUCUUAACCAUAAACUAUGCCGACUAGGGAUCGGACGAUGUUAAUUUUUUAAUGACUCGUUCGGCGCCUUACGGGAAAC